GGCCACGUGAACGGCCGUGGCUCGGCGCAGCAUGCUGCUUCUGAAAGUCUCUCCUGGUCACUCUGGGAGUCUGGGUCAGGAGUCGCAUGUGAGCUCCUGUUCUUUGGGUCCAGCCUUCUCAUUCCUGCCUGCACCUGAGAAGCCACUGAGGGUGGUGCCCUUAUCUUGUCCUUGCCCAGGCUGGGUGUCAGACCAGAGCGACCCUGCCCAGAUGCUGUUUCCUGGCACCAUCAAGAGAUGCAGGGAACUUGGAAGCCAGGCCCCGAAGAUGGCAGAGCCUGGGUCCCUGAGUGACUGUGUGGAGAAGUGCCUCACCUGCCACCAAAUGUGUCUGUAAUGUCAGUGAGCAGUGAGCUGUUUCUGUACUGAGCCACCAAGAGUAGGGAUUUGUCUGCGGCCACAGCAGAGUCUACUCUACACCAACUAAUGUGCCACGUGCCCGGACAUUCCAA